rnacentral:tRNA from 1 species
ACCUGGCUGGCUUAGUCGGAAAAGCACGUGACUUUUGAUCUUAGGGUCAUGAGUUUGAGCCUCGUGUUGGGUG